AAGUCGUAACAAGGUUUCCGUAGGUGAACCUGCGGAAGGAUCAUUAACACGUAUCCAAACGUUAAAACAACCCUGUGAACCUUCAGCGUGUUCUUGCAGGACAUCAAAACAGCAAUCCCGAGUAAAUCAGGCGCUAAAGAAUUACAGAUUUUGAUUUUGGGAAGUUCUGUGUGUACGUGGACGCUGCAAUUGAGCCCUGUCUGAAAGCGUCAGGGAUCAAUGUUCAGGGUGGCGCAGUCAACGAUCGCUGUAGGUCCACACGACCGGCGACCGGGGUGGAGGCGAAAGCCCCUACGUCAUCCCUAUGUACCCUCCGGGACUUGGCGAAAGCUGACUCCGUCAUAAAUCGAACAACUGUUAACAAUGGAUAUCUUGGUUCUC
rnacentral:misc_RNA from 1 species